CUUCUUAUACAAUCAGUUCUCCAAAUUACCCAAGACGGUAGCCUACAGAUAGACAUGAAAUAAAGAGGCAUUGCAGAGAGGACCGUAUUCACAAGAAUGAAUCCACUCCCAAAGGAUGGCAAGCUUCCUUUCCAGGCAGCCAAGCAAGAUUCCAUCCUUUAAAUUAGGUGCCUCCAAUCCAAUUUGAUAAGUUUGCUUCCUUUGAGAGAUAGUCCAAAAUAGGAAAUGGGAAGAGAACCGGACUUAGAGUUCAGCCAAGAAACACA
rnacentral:lncRNA from 1 species